CCUUUGACGUUAGCGGCGGACGGGUGAGUAACACGUGGGUAACCUACCUAUAAGACUGGGAUAACUUCGGGAAACCGGAGCUAAUACCGGAUAAUAUUUCGAACCGCAUGGUUCGAUAGUGAAAGGUGGUUUUGCUAUCACUUAUAGAUGGACCCGCGCCGUAUUAGCUAGUUGGUAAGGUAACGGCUUACCAAGGCUACGAUACGUAGCCGACCUGAGAGGGUGAUCGGCCACACUGGAACUGAGACACGGUCCAGACUCCUACGGGAGGCAGCAGCA
rnacentral:rRNA from 1 species